GAUGAACGCUAGCGGGAGGCCUAACACAUGCAAGCCGAGCGGUAUUUGUUCUUCGGAUCAGAGAGAUCGGCGCACGGGUGCGGAACACGUGUGCAACCUGCCUUUAUCUGGGGGAUAGCCUUUCGAAAGGAAGAUUAAUACCCCAUAAUAUAUUGAGUGGCAUCAUUUGAUAUUGAAAACUCCGGUGGAUAGAGAUGGGCACGCGCAAGAUUAGAUAGGUGGUGAGGUAACGGCUCACCAAGUCAAUGAUCUUUAGGUGGCCUGAGAGGGUGAUCCCCCACACUGGUACUGAGACACGGACCAGACUCCUACGGGAGGCAGCAGAGAGGAAUAUUGGACAAUGGGUUAGCGCCUGAUCCAGCCAUCCCGCGUGAAGGACGACGGCCCUAUGGGUUGUAAACUUCUUUUGUAUAGGGAUAAACCUACUCUCGUGAGAGUAGCUGAAGGAACUAUACGAAAAAGCACCGGCUAACUCCGU
rnacentral:rRNA from 1 species